UUCACUUUGGAAGCAAGGUUUGAGCUCUCUGGUCAUAAGGAGGCCUGGCCCUCUUGCCUAUAAAACCAUGUAGAGAGCCAGAAGAGUUAGGGUCUGGGUCUGGAUUACCCCAGGAGUGUAGCAGAGAUAAUGGGAAUCCUGCCAGCUCGGAAAGGAUUUAAGAGGCUUGCAGGAUUUUUACUGCAGCCUAGCCUUCGAGACUCUCCCACCAGGCAGCCAAAAUUAGUGAUGAGAUGCCCAGCUGGCAGGUGAUGCAAAUCAAGAGCUUACGCUAUCCUCCUAGCAAGACUGGGACAAGAAGCAACCUUCAUCUAAAGUUGAGGAAACAACACAUUUCUCAAUCAAACAAACCAGAUCCAAAGCAAGAAGCAGCCCCAUGAGUGAGAGUCUAUGGUGGGAAGGAGAGACUCAGAAACACCCUCAUUCAUCCAUCACUUGAUGUUGGACACUGGUGAUGCACAGGUGGUGGCCUCUCUAAAUUUGUCAACAGUGCCUGAAACCAGCACACCUGCAAGUUGCUUGCAAGGGGCAGCAAGAGUGAAAAUAUGCUAUUUCUUUGGAGGAAUAUUAGAGUGGCAGCUACAAUGUGCUUCAGGUCUCACUCAGCUCAAGGACAGUUUUUUUUCUGGUUUCCUUGGCCAAAAAAGAUCCUUCUAGCACAAUCUCACUGCCAUAUAGCACCCCUUUGUGAUAUUUGACUUUCAAGAUGUUAAAAUUGUUUCUGUGUUUGUUGGACUAACUCCCGUCCUUGCAUAGACUGCAAGGCAGAGCAUGUACCAAAUUUUAUUCACUAUUGCACCUCCAGAACCUAGGACACUGUUUGUCAGCAAUGGGCAUUUUAAAACGAACAAGAACUUUCAAG